UACAGAGGGUGCGAGCGUUAAUCGGAAUUACUGGGCGUAAAGCGCGCGUAGGCGGCUAUACAAGUCGAGUGUGAAAUCCCCGGGCUCAACCUGGGAACUGCAUUCGAGACUGUAUGGCUUGAGUAUGGGAGAGGGAGGCGGAAUUUCAGGUGUAGCGGUGAAAUGCGUAGAUAUCUGAAGGAACAUCAGCGGCGAAAGCGGCCUCCUGGACCAAUACUGACGCUCAUGUGCGAAAGCGUGGGGAGCAAACAGG
rnacentral:rRNA from 1 species